rnacentral:rRNA from 1 species
UACGUAGGGUGCAAGCGUUGUCCGGAAUCAUUGGGCGUAAAGAGCUCGUAGGCGGUCUGUCGCGUCUGCUGUGAAAACCUGGGGCUUAACCCCGGGCUUGCAGUGGGUACGGGCAGACUAGAGUGCGGUAGGGGAGACUGGAAUUCCUGGUGUAGCGGUGAAAUGCGCAGAUAUCAGGAGGAACACCGGUGGCGAAGGCGGGUCUCUGGGCCGUAACUGACGCUGAGGAGCGAAAGCGUGGGGAGCGAACAGG